GAGGCAGAGCCACGGCCAGCAUUAGGAUGGCUUCAGGUCCCAUGAAGGCUCCAUGCAAACAAAUUAUUUCUGAGGAUGAGAAGAUGGGAGGUUGAAAUCUACUUAACAAAACAGGAAGCAACCUCAAUGUUAAGAAGAAAGCCUAAAACCAACAAUGGGAAACAGAAUAACUAUCAGGGACCCUGUAGCUGAAGAUUUACCAGGAGGCCAAGCUAAGCAAAGGUGGUGAGGGGGUCAUUUGCAUUUCUGUCGUCGGUACUUUAUGAAUAUGAACACUAACAUUCUAUUAUGGCUUUCCUCAAGCUGCCAUGUGAGCUAAGCCAGCCGGCCUCAGAGUCUCAGGACUAUGCUGUUUCUGAAGGAGGUGACUGCCAUCUCCAGGGAAGCUGCCAUCUCCUCCAAGGCCAUCAGCAGGGGUGGGCUACACAGCACAAAAAUCAGGUGAUGGAGGCAUCUGAUAGACUGCCUGAUCUUCCAUUUCUUCUGCAGAGUUAGAAUGACGGCGAGGCUGAAGAGUGAAUCAGCACUCUCCUCCAUACUAUAUUCCACCCCUACUCCCCCUUC
rnacentral:lncRNA from 1 species